UUGAUUAUCAAAACCACAACGUGAACCUUAUUGUCCCGCGCCAGCGCGGCGGCUCUAGGCCGGCAUAUGCUUGCCUAGAGGCCCUUGGCUAAUGCCAUGGGUCAGCCCGCUGCCUGGUUGCGUUUCUACACCCCGUGUUUAUCAACACACAAAACCUAAAUCUGAAGAUAAAGGCUUGCCAUAAUGGCAGUCUCUAACCAAGACAACUCUCAACAACGGAUAUCUUGGCUCUCGCAACGAUGAAGAACGCAGCGAAAUGCGAUACGUAGUGUGAAUUGCAGAAUUCCGUGAACCAUCGAAUCUUUGAACGCAUAUUGCGCUGGAGGCUCCGGCCAACAGCAUGUCUGCCUCAGCGUCGGUGUGACUCCUCGCUCCUCUACCCCUGUGGUAGUGCGCUUGCUAAUACUGCGGGCCUUGGAGCGGAUCUGGCCCUCCCAAUCUCUUUAGUGCGAUUGGGUUGGCUGAAGCACAGAGGCUUGAGCAAGGACCCGUUAUGGGCUCAACUGGAUAGGUAGAACCGGCUGCUUGCGGCCGCCUACACGAAGUUGGCGCCUGUGGACCUUGCUGGGGGCCAGCAGGAAACUCCACUUGUGGAGACCUCUCAAU
rnacentral:misc_RNA from 1 species